rnacentral:rRNA from 1 species
AGUGAACGCUGGCGGUAGGCCUAACACAUGCAAGUCGAACGGCAGCACAGUAAGAGCUUGCUCUUACGGGUGGCGAGUGGCGGACGGGUGAGGAAUACAUCGGAAUCUACUUUUUCGUGGGGGAUAACGUAGGGAAACUUACGCUAAUACCGCAUACGACCUACGGGUGAAAGCAGGGGAACUUCGGACCUUGCGCGAUUGAAUGAGCCGAUGUCGGAUUAGCUAGUUGGCGGGGUAAAGGCCCACCAAGGCGACGAUCCGUAGCUGGUCUGAGAGGAUGAUCAGCCACACUGGAACUGAGACAGGGUCCAGACUCCUACGGGAGGCAGCAGUGGGGAAUAUUGGACAAUGGGCGCAAGCCUGAUCCAGCCAUACCGCGUGGGUGAAGAAGGCCUUCGGGUUGUAAAGCCCUUUUGUUGGGAAAGAAAAGCAGCAGGUUAAUACCCCGCUGUUCUGACGGUACCCAAAGAAUAAGCACCGGCUAACUUCGUG